rnacentral:rRNA from 1 species
UACGUAGGGUGCAAGCGUUGUUCGGAAUCAUUGGGCGUAAAGCGCGUGUAGGCGGUUUACUAAGUCUGGUGUGAAAUCCCGGGGCUUAACCCCGGAAGUGCACUGGAUACUGGUAGACUAGAGGACGAGAGAGGAGGGUGGAAUUCCUGGUGUAGGGGUGAAAUCCGUAGAUAUCAGGAGGAACAUCGGUGGCGAAGGCGGCCCUCUGGCUCGUUUCUGACGCUCUGACGCGAAAGCGUGGGGAGCAAACAGG